rnacentral:rRNA from 1 species
UACGAAGGGGGGCUAGCGUUGCUCGGAUUGACUGGGCGUAAAGGGCGCGUAGGCGGUUCGUACAGUCAGACGUGAAAUUCCUGGGCUCAACCUGGGGGCUGCGUUUGAUACGUGCGGACUUGAGUGCGGAAGAGGGUCGUGGAAUUCCCAGUGUAGAGGUGAAAUUCGUAGAUAUUGGGAAGAACACCAAUGGCGAAGGCAGCUCGCUGGGACGUUACUGACGCUGAGACGACGAACGGUGGGAGCAAACAGG